rnacentral:lncRNA from 1 species
AAUUGAGAAUUAUAUUUCAACCAAACUCCAAGAUUAUAUAGGUAGUGCUCAUAGAUAUAAUCAGCAAGUGGAUGUGCACAACCCUGUCUUAUGAUAACACGAAGUCGUAUGUCAUUAGACAUCUUGUAUGAUAGUGGCAAAACACCAUUCCAAAGUUGGGUUCACCUCAUCCUAUUCGGUUCACCAAAAACAACGGUUAAAUGACGUAUAACAUACGACACACUUAUCUAAAAUUCUCAAUAAAAUUAUUUCCAUACUGUUUAGGGGAAACCUCAAUAGCUAUAGACCACCGUUCUAUUCCCCUGUUACCCCCGCUCGAUCCAGCUACACUCUUAUUACCUGAAAGGAAUUGUGAAGCAAAAGGGUGAGCACAAAUAGCCCAGUAAAGAAUAUUAUGACUAAGAUAAAUAAUUUAUCAAUAGCCUUCAUCAGUAAUAAAUCAGAGAUUUAGAACAUAUGGUAGAUAAUAAAACUUUUCAACCAUAGUUGCAACGGAACGAACAAUCCAUUAGAAGAGUCAAAUAGAUUAUACAGUCUAUUAUCUUCUCCAUGUUAAAAGUCCACCAAUAAUGUUUUAUCCCUGUAACAUCAAUCAACAGUUCAUGUUCACAAUCAUGUGAAUAACUCAUAAUCAUAAUUGUGGUUCUAAAUUCCUCUUCGCACCCAGGACGAAGAUAAUUUUUAUCACAUGUCUUUACCUGAAACAUCAAAGAUUAUGGUUAUACCAAAUCACAGUUCUUAUUCAUAAUCAUACUAAUAAAUUCAUCUUUGCACUACGGGCCAAAGAUAUUCAUCAACAGUUCAUCUUUGCACUACAGGCAAAAGAUAUUCAACAACAGGUCAUCUUUGCACUAUUGGCCAAAGAUUUUAAUAUCUCAAAGAAAUAUAUAAUCAUUUCAGAAUUUAUAUAAACAAUAAUUAUAACCAUGUUGAUCAAUUCACCUUUGCACUUAAGCUAAAGAUAUUCAAUUAUAAAUUCAAUGGUCAUGAUCAUACCAGUCAACAAUUCAUCUUUGCACUACUGCCCAAAGAGAACUCAUAGUCAUGAUCAUACCAAUAAUCUACCCAUCUUUACGCUCAAGUGAAAGAAAAAUUUCAUCACCGAGAUUAUAAAAAUGUUAUAUAUGAUAAUAAAAACAAUAUGAUCAAAACAUGGACUUAAUUUUAAGAGUAAGAUUCAUAAAUCAACGAUAUUUUGGUCAGAAAAAGAAACCAAUUUUGUCGUGAAUAGUACCCCGUGAAUAGUAACUCGUGAAUAGUAAUCCAUGCAUAGUACUCCGUAUUUAUAAAUAGUAUCGUAUAUGUGAAUAGUUCUGUAUACGUAAAUAGUGCCUUAAACAUGAAUAGUACCGUAUACGUGAAUAGUUUCGUAUACGUGAAUAGUAACCUCAACAUGAAAAGGUAAAAUUUCAUAAUAAAAUUCAUACCAAUAUUUCGGUAUAAUGAUAUUGAAAAAAAUAAUAUCAUUUAUGAAAAAAAUAACAUCCCUUACCAUCCCUUACCUCAAAAGAACAGUACUUCUGACUAGAAUAUCGGAUAUAAUGCUGAAGAAAACUUGCACUGAAUAACAACACUCAAAGUAUCGAAAAUACUCACAAAAAUACGCUCAAUAAUAUAGAGAGAGAAAACUUCAGAUUCUGGUGUGAUUUUCAAUUCUAACCUAAACACCCUAUUUAUAGGAAAAUGCUUAGAACACCAAAGCAGCAAAUUUAAUAAAAUAAUAUUAUUUAUUAAAAAUUUUCCUACGCACACUUUGAAAAUCUAAUUUUAGAAUUUUACACCAACCAAUAGGGCCCACCAACACACAAAACAUGUUUUAUCAUUUAAUGCGAAAAAAUUAAUUCGAACCCAAUAUUCUAGAACUUCAAUAAUUCAUAAUAAAUAGCCAUUUUAUCAGAAAAAUUUGAAUCGUAUGUCCAUUCCAUAGAAAAUUUAAUUCUCUACAACUUUGUAGAAGAAAGUUUUUCCAAAUUCUAAAGGAAAAAUGACUGAAAUCCACAUACGAAUGAUCUUGAAGGCUGUAAUCAAAUUUCAGUCAAAAAUGGGGCCCACUAACAUGUUUAACAUGUUUUUUGUAACAAAAAUACUUUUCCUCCUCAUUUAUUCAUAUACUGUGAAUUUAGUGUAAAAAUAUCACCAUUAUUAUAUUAUUAUAUUAUCACAUUAUACAUUUAUAAUGUAAUAUAAGAAUAUAUUUGAAUGAAUUAUUUUAUCAGAAAAGAUAAAAUCAGUUUUCAACAAUUGUCACUUUUCUAAAAAAAUUCCUUCAUUCUGACAAAAUACUGAUAAAACACCUCAGCAUUAACUCCUUCAUUUAUAUCCACAUAAAAUAAAUAUUUUCUUAUCAUAUAAAUUAAUAAUUAAUUAUUCUCAAAUAAUAUUACAGAAUCCCAAUAAUGAUAACCAGGUCGUUCCUAGGAAAGAGGGGGCCUUCCGGUAAGGAUUUCUCCUUACUGGCGCACAAUUAAAUAACAUAACCCCUUUCCUCGACAGAAUUUUCUAGACAUUGUCAAUAAUGUUAUCUAAUAAUAUUAUUCAAAUAAUAUGAAUUAUUGGUUUGAUAAUGUAAAGUACUGUGUAGUGACAAUUAUUAAAACAACAAUAAUAUAAAAUAAUGUGCAAUACCGUGUGCUACUAUGUAUUACUGUAUUUUAACCACCGGGUAUUCUAACAAUGUUAACGGUAACAACUACGCCGUUAUUUAUAAAAAACUUUUACUUACCGUUUUCUUCAUCCGACAAUUUUCUGUUAUGGGGCCCACAAAUGGUUGUGCCGUCAUACGAAUAUUCCCCGACAGCAAGAAUAUUCCACGACCAAACGAAUAUUCCCCGAUAACAAUGAAUAUUUUAUAACCACUUGCUUAUUUUGUAAAUUUUACAUAUAUCACCCUUAACUUUAACUUUUUAUCAAUUUAGUCAUUUACUGAAUAAUAAUUAUAAGAAAAAUUAAAUACUUUUAUUUCAUAAAAUUUGGGGUCUUACACUUGGCGUCAAUUGAUUGCUAUCUAAAGCAUCAACAGCUCACUACUCAAAGCGUCAAUAAAUGAACUGUUUCCAUCUUGCUCUCUUUUUAAAGCGCUAAGGGUGAUUGCUUUUGUGAGUGAGUUAAUCAAUAUGUUGACAUAUAUUUAGUGUAUGUAUAUCCAAUAUGUAUAAUAAUCUGUGUGAACAUCUAAAAUUUAUCAUAUGCGCUAAAAUAACCAAACAUAAGUGGAAAUAAAUGAAUCUCGCAUAAAUGAUAAAUAUCUUGAAAUAACAAUGAAUAUUUCUAAUAUAAGCCAAAUAAUGAGUGAUUACAAAGAAAUAAGAAAGUACAUCAAACCCUAUAAAACCCUAAUGAACUAAAAUGUCUACAAAAAAUAUAUUUAGGAAUUGGCUUCGUCAAGGGAUCAGCAGUAAGACCCCAUCUGAUUAUGAAUAAAAAUUAAAUUUUCUCUAUUUAUUAUCUUGAAAUAAUAAGGAGUUAAUUUGAUAUAAUACUUUGGUUAUGGGUGAAAUGUGCAAAUUUUAUAAAAUAAGCAAGUGGUUAUAAAAUAUUCAUUUUUUAUCGGGGAAUAUUCGUUUGGUCGUGGAAUAUUCUUGUUGUCGGGGAAUAUUCAUACGACGGCGCAACCAUUCGUGGGCCUCAUAAUAGAAUAACUGUCAGAUGAAGAAAACGACAAGUUUGAGUUUUUAUAAAUAACGGCGUAGUUGUUACCGUUAGUACUGUUGGAAUACCCGGUGGUUAAAAUAUAGUAAUACGCGUGGUUUCACAGUAGCACACGGUAUUGCAUAGUAUUUUUGAAUUAUUGAUUCUUACGUAAGAAGGCACUACUCAAUAAUUGUUACAGUAAUUACUUUUCAAUAUUUUAUUUUAUUGAUUCAAUAAUUGCUGCGUUGAUAUUUUAUAUUAUUGUUGUUUCAAUAAUUGUCACUGCACAGUAUUUCCCAUUAUCAGAUCAAUAAUUCAUAUUAUUUGAAUAAUAUUAUUAGAUAGCAUUAUUGGCAAUGUCUAGAAAGUUCUGUCAAGGAGAGGUUUGGUCACCUAAUUGCGCGCCAAUAAGGAGAAAUUCUUAUUGGAAAGCCCCCUCUUUCCUGGGAACGGCCUGGUUGUCAUAAAUGUGAUUCUGUAAUAUUAUUUGUGAAUAAUUAAUUAUUGAUUCAUAUGAUAAGGAAAUAUUUAUUUUAUGUGGAUAUAAAUGUUGGAUAUAUUUAUUGUGGUUAAAAAUGAAGGAGUUAAUGUUGAGGUGUUUUAUCAGUAUUUUUGUCGGAAUGAAGGUAUUAAAAAUUAAACCAGUGUUUUUGAGAUAUAUUGCGUGAGUUAUAAUUUUUAAUCCGACCGUUGGAUCGUUGUAAUUUUUGGAUAUGUUAUACAUAUAUAAGUUGAGUAUAUGUCCACAAAUUUUGAACCGUUAAAAAUGAACGUAUGAUUUGUUAUGAAUUUUAAGAGGUGACUGAUUCAGAAAUUAGGUUUAUAAAUGAUUUUGGUGGAAAAUUCUAGAAUUGAGUGGGCCCCACUUGUGGUUGGUGAAGAAAUGUGCUGAAUUUUAUUUCAAAUGUGGUGGGUGGCAAUAGUAGCAGGUAAAGCCAUCAGGUAGCAUGUCAAGUCUGCUUCGGCGUGCUAACAUUUUCCUAUAAAUAGAGGGCUAAGUUAGAAUUGAAAAUCACACCAGAAACAUAAGUUUUCUCUCUCUAUCUCUAUAUUAUUGAGCGUAUUUUGUGAGUAUUUAGAUAUUUUGAGAGUUGCUGUUCAGUACAAGUUUCAUUCAGCAUCACUUCCGACCUUUCAUUCCGAAGUACUGAUUCUUUGAGGUGAAGGAUGUUAUUUUCUUCUGAAAUGAUAUUAUUUUCUUCAAUAUCAUUAUGCCGAAAUAUUGGUUUGAACUUUUUAAUCAAAUUUGGAACUUUUGUGUCGGGAUUACUAUUCACAUAUACGGCACUAUUCACGUAUACAACACUAUUCACGAAUACGACAUUAUUCACCGAAAAAUGAAAUUUUCUCUUUUUCGUCCCAGAUGUCUUUUAUAGUUACUAUCUUUGAUUGUAUCCAUGUUUUGAUCUUUAUUUUUGAAUUCUACUUCACACUUGGUUAUUAUGGAGUAUUAUUGAAUUUGGAUAAACCGAAAUAUGAAUCCCUAAUAUUUGUCCUUCUGUCUCACUGGAUUCGUUCUCUAAAAUGUUUUUCAUCAUCCUCAGUCCUUAAUGGUGAUACUUGAUGAAUAUCUUUGGCCUGUAGUGCAAAGAUGAAUGAUUACCUGAUGAAUAUCUUUGGCCCGUAGUGCAAAGAUGAACAGGUGUUGAGAUGAACAUGACCAACUGGUGAUACAAAUGAAUAUCUUUGGCCCGUAGUGCAAAGAUGAAUAUUUGAUCCAAGAUGUAUAUUGAUUGAUGUUACAGGGAUAAAAUAUUGAUGAUGGACUUUUAAAUUCAUAGAUGAUAGUAGAUUUCAUUCUCUACUUAACUCUUCUAAUGAAUUGUUGUUUUCGCUGCAGUUGUUGAUCUAAAACUUGUUGUCGAUUAUAUUCUAUCAGAUUUUUCCCUGUUGAAGACUAAUGAUAAUUUAUUGUAUAUUAUCUUAGUCAUAAUAUUCUUUAUUGGGCUAGUUGAGCUCACCCUUUUCCUUUUUGUUCCAUUUUUCUUCUCAAGAAGCGAGAACAUAGCAGGAACCAGUCGGGGUAUAGAGUGAUGGUCCUAGAUAGUUGUUUUAGCAGUCCUCACUAAUUUUGUAAACUAGUACAUCAAUAAUUGUAAUGAGGACUUUAUUUGGGUGUUGAUAUUGUCUAGAAGACAAUAUUUGUAUUUAAACUCACAGUAUGUGUUGUAGUAUUUUGCACGAUAAUUGUAUUAAUAAAGUUGUAGUUAUUUUUCUGUACCAUGUAUUUGGCGACUCAGAAUGGGUGAUGUAUACCUAUUUUGGGGGCGUCACAUUAGCUACCAUAAGUCUAGUGGGCAUGUACUCCAAAAUCACCUCAUUAUUUGCUAUGUUAUCUCUGAUGAAGUUCAUCCUCAAGUCAAUGUGCUUCAUCCUGCCAUGAUACUUGGGGUCCUUAGUGUAAUCUAGGGCCGCCGUGCUAUCACAGAAAAUAGUCACAGGAUCUGAAGCAUGAGGGACGACUCCCAGAUCCUCGAAGAAUCUCCUCAGCCACAUGGCUUCCUGAACAGCUAACGUACAAGCUACAAACUCCGACUCCAUCGUAAAAAGAGAAACACAAGUUUUUUUCUUGCUACACCAAGUAAUGGCACCACCAUGUAGCAAGAAUGCAUAUCCUGAGGUCGACUUGUGCGUCCCCUGGUUGCCUCCCUAACUGGCAUCAGAGUAACCGAUCAAUCGCAGGUCCGACCCUCCAUAGCAUAACAUGUAGUCCAAAGUACCUUUCAAAUAUCGUAAGAUCCUCUUGAUUAACCUCCAAUGAGCAAUCCUAGGGUUUGACUGAUACCGACUGAGAUAACCAACUGUGUAUGUUAUAUCAGGCCUAGUACACACAACUGCAUACAUUAGCUUUCCUAUACAUUGACAUACGAGUAAUGGGACAUCUUUUUAAUUUCCUCGGGAGAAGUAGGGCAUUGCUCGGGUCCAAUAGCAUCGCCUUUAGCGAUAAGAGUGUCUAUGGGUUUGAAGUUGUUCGUUUGGAAUUUCUCAAGAACCUUCUUAAGGUAAGUCUCUUGAGACAAACCAAGAAGCUUUCUUGAGUGAUCUCUAUAGAUCUUAACCCCAAGAACAUAAGUUGUUCCCCCAUGUCUUUCAUCUCAAAGUUAGAGGACAACCACCCUUUUGUGGCGAUAAUCAUCUCUUUAUCGUUCCCAGCUAGUAGGAUGUCAUCGACAUACAUAGAUAAGAUAAGGAAUUUAUCUUUGGACCGUUUGAUAUAUACACAACGGUCUUCCUCGAUUAUCGUAAACCCAUCACUAAUAACGACUUGAUGGAAUCUCAAAUACCAUUGUCUAGACGCCUGUUUCAGACCAUAGAUAGAACGUUUGAGCUUGCAUACUUUACGCUCUUCUCCUUCUAUGACGAAACCAUCUGGCUGAUCCAUGUAUAUUUCUUUAGCUAAAUCUCCAUUGAGAAAAGUUGUUUUAACAUCCAUUUGAUAUAACUCCAGAUCUAAAUGGGCGACAAUCGCUAGUGUCGACGUCGGGAUUUUUAUUAUCCCUUUUAUGUUCUUGUUCUUUGGUGUUCUCAUGUUAGGUGAGAUUUGUUUGAAAAAAUAAGUUGUGAAAAGGUCCGACAUGUAUAUGUCGACGAUUGGAUUGUAAGAGUCGCCAAUUGGUUUUUUAAAUGGUUGUACCAACACAACCGAGAAAAGGUUUGCACAUUGACCACGUGAUAUAACACUGUGUAACUGGUCUGUGAAACCGAGAUUCGUUAGGGUCCGGGGGCUUGAUUAUGCGGAGGGAAGGUGUUAGGUACCCCCGACAUCCGUGUUACCAUGGUGACCGCUACUUUUCAAUAAAACUAUCAUAUGAAUGUGUGUAUGUGUGGGUCAAUGUGCAAUUAUUUGGAAGUAGUGUGAGGCCUCGUUCACACCUAUAUACAAAGGGUUUGAAUUUGUGUAAAAAUUCAUUUAAAAAGAUAUAGCAGUGAUGUUUUGUAAAAGUGGUUUUUCAAACCCUUAUGCUCAAUAGUAAUUGAGGCCUUUGGUACUUUCAUUUUAUUAAAUGUUCGACUUGAUUGCUAUAAUUUUUCGAGAUGCGAAGCAUCGCUGAGAAAAUAAUGUAAAAAGCAGUGUCGAACUUCUUAUGGGCAUGAGAGCCAUCUAAGGAAAUUCAGACACCUUGAAUAAUUUACAAGCUGCUUAUAGCUAAAAAAUGUCCAUCACGGUAACCGAAUCUAGAUUCAGUAGACUGAAUCUAUGAUCACAUGAUUCCUAGGCUCACAUGAUGCCUCAGUUAAUAUGAAAGUUGUACACAGUUAUAUAUAUAAAAGCUAUAUAUAUAUAUAUAUAUAUAUAUAUAUAUAUGAUCAACCACCACGAAGCACCUCCAUGGGGGAUCAGAAAUGUAAAUAUAUAGAAGCUGUAAAUAUAUAUAUAUAGAUGAUCAACCACCACGAAGCACCUCCAUGGGGGAUUAAAAAUGUAAAUAAAGCAAUAAAACGAUCAACCACCACGAAGUAAACUCUAGGCGGGACGAAAAGUAAAUAAAGCAGUAAAAUGCCACGAAGUAAACUUCGGGCCUGACAGAAAAUAUAAAUAUAAAUAUAUAUAUAUAUAUAUAAAUAUAUAUAUAUAUAUAUAAGCGAUAAACAUGCCGGAUGUUUCUCAAUCUAGGCUCGGUUUAUCAUUUCAGCGAUAUAUAUAUAUAUAUAUAUAAAAGUAGUAAACUGUAAUACCCAAGAAUUUUCACGUAUUAUUGAAUGAAUAUAUUAAUGGAAAUAAAAUUUCUAUGAAUAAAAGUGUUAUUAUUUUGAGAGUUGGUUAAUUCAAUUGAUUCGAAUUAGAUCAAUGCGUAUUAAGAAGUUUGAUGUGACGAUGAGAAUUUUGAAAUGCCUUGUGUGGCAUAAUGUGAAACGAGAGAAUUUACUAAGCGAGUUGAAAUGGGAAUUAAGAAGAUUAAUCGGGAAUGAUUAUGUGUUUUCAUAUAAGUAAUCAAUACGCUCGUAGGCGGGUAGUAACACCUUUGUGGACAUCAAUUCAUGUCGUAUAAAAUGAAUUUAGCAUUGAAAAUUGACACGGGCUGAAGCUAAACCAGUCUUGGCACUGUCAGGGCACGACGCAGCUGCGCCGUCCCAGCAGUACAAACUGGCGCAGCUGCGCCAGGGGUCAGUUGGAGAAAAAUUAAUUCUUCUACUUUGGAAAAUUAAAUGAAACAACUAUGUGAUUUGUGUGACAUUGGUGAACCAUGAAAUAAAGUGCACAAUUAAUUAAUAUUAAAUGAUAAUUUUUAUAUUAAUUAAUUGUUAACGGUUGUGGUAGAAUAUUGAAUUCUUAGUAGUUAACUAAUAAUGCGUGAUUACUGCUAUUUGCAAUAUGUUAUAUAGAUAAAUAAUGAUUAUGGAAAUCCAUAAAUAUAUUGAUCAAUGAUGAUUGGAUUAAUUAAUAAUGGUGUUAAUUAAUCAAGGAAGUGAAUAAAUUAUUUAUUUAUAUGAUCAUUUUAUAUUAACAGUUAUGCGUAUAAGAGCAAUAAUACAACUAUAUUAUAUAGAGCAGUGUGACAUUUGUGUGACUAUAUAUAUUAAGUCUUAUAAAACUAUAUUGUAAGAGGCAAUGUGAGUAAGCAUAUUGGAACUAUAUGUUAUAAAUACAUUAUCUAUGUGACAAUAUGUAUGUGGGUAUGUAUUAAAAUAAUAUACCAUGAACACAUUGUAAACUAUCAUUUUGAUAAAAUGUACAUGGAUUAUAUGUAUGUUGCAUAACAUCUACUACCUUGAAAUGUUAAAGCAUAUUGUGAAAUUUAGUUAUAAUAUAUGGUUGAGAUGUGUAUUAAAAUAUAACAUAAGAGUGAGAUUGUGUAGGAGUAUACAAGAAUGCUGAGUUAUAUUAGAUUGUCCCAAAAUGAUUGUCCCAUUUUCUCAUUUCUCAGUCACGUGUAAAACAAAAGGCUAUGGCCUAUGUUCUUCCUUUUCUUCCAAAGCUUACUAGCUAAUGAUCAUGGGGGGAGUGGCAUUCAUGAUGCAAAUCAACCACCAAUUACCUACUCUUUGAUAACCUUCAUGCAAUUCUUCCAUCCUUUGGGUUGAGUUCUUGGAUAAUGGCUUGGCAUGGUCAAGAAAUUUUCUAUAAAUUGAAUAUUUCCCUUCAUCCUUUGUGUUGCUUGAAAUUGUCUGAGAAUUGCUUAGUGUAAGAUUGAGAGCAUACAAGUGUUCUAGGAGCUUGAAAGUUCAUUAGGAGCAAAUUCUUUUGCAUUAUAAAGGUAUAAUUCUUUUUUUUCCUUGCUUCCAUUUCAUUCUCUGUAAAACUAAGUUUUUAAUUCUUGAAAUAUCAAAUUAUUGUUUUGGUGGAAUUGGAUGUUAAUAAGGUUGGGUAUUGGUUAUAAGGUUGUUAUAUGACCAUAGAAACAUGUUUAAACUAAUACAUGAUUGUUUGGAAUCGAAUUGGUAAAUAAUUUUAGAGGUUGGGCCAGCUUUCUGCCGAAGCAGACUGCUUCUGCGCCUGAACCAGGCACGGCGCAGCUGUGCCACAUUUGUAUUGAGGUGCAGGGCAGCUCCGCCGGUCCCUGUUUUCAGUUGAAUGUUCUGUUUGCAAGUCUGAUCAAUAUGAGCUAGUUGUUAUGACUCAAACUAGCAUGUAAACGUGUAUGAUGUAUAUAUGGGUAUAUUAACUCAAUAAGAACAUGUUUUAAUAGACUUGCAUGAUUAACGAAAGUAUAUGGUUUAAAUAGAGAUUUGGACUUUAAGUUUUGAAAACAAACUAUGUUAAAGAUCAUGUUCUACAAAUUGUGAACCUAGUAAGCUAUACAUGACCGAUUCUUCACACAGAUGAGCAUAUUGUAGUGUACAUAGUUCCUUUGAGCAUGAUCAAACUUAUUAAGCCUUGUUUUAGAAAUAUUUUCAAGAAAAGACUUGGCCUAGUGAGCUAACAUGCAUGAUUUCUACAUGAUGUAUAUUCUGACUUUGCAAGCAUGUUAGUAUGACUUAGAAAUGCAUGAAUAAACCAUUUUCUUGUGUUUAUGUGAAUAGUGAGCAUUUUGAACCUACUAGUAAGUUUAGAAUAUGAAUAUUGUCAUGAUACAUUGAAGACUAGAAUCUGACAUUUGUGAUCAUGUUUGAUGAAGCUCUUAGACUUACUCAUGUAGUGUAACCAUGGAUAUAUCAUGCUCGUGUGUCAUAUUUCAAACAAAGCAUAUUUUCAACUAAAGCGGUGUUAGUUUCACGUAUGUGGUAUGAAUACUCACAAGCAUGCCUAAUAUAAGUUUUAUAACUAUCUUGUAUGUUUAGAGAGCAAGUAUGAUAGACCUUGUGAUUUAAUGACCUUGAAUGGCCUUAAAUUAUUGAGAUGAUCAAGCUUAGAACCAUGUUAUGCAAGAAGGAACCUAGAUUGAUCUAAGAAGCAUGUGAAAGCCUUUAACAUGAUAAAAUAUGAUUGUGUGUUCAAGCUAAACAGAAACCACAAGGCAGCAGCUAAGUCUUGGCUUGGCCAGAGGACAGCUCAGCUGCGCUAGUCUGGAAUCCCAGUUAGUGAAUUCUGACUUUUGGACAGCAACUUGCAUGAUGCCUAUGAUGCUAAAUGUGAUCUAAAAACUACUGAUAUAUAUAGUGAUGCCUAGUUGAUAAGUUGGUGUUGCAUUGUAAUGGAAAGUCCAUGAGUAAUGAGGUCUUAACCUUGAGCAUUCUUGAUUUGUUUAUAACUAAGUAUUUGAUUCAUGAUGACUUAUGAACUGACUUUUGUACCAUAUGUGCAUACCAUAUCAUGUCAAACUUGAUUAAAGAUUGUGUUCGCUAAUGAACAUCUUGAACUUAUAAUACGCUAUAAAUAGGAUUCGAAAGUGUUAAUUUAUUAACGUGGAUAAACUACGCUUAAGGCAAGUUUCUCCAACCUUACUCAAAUUUAUGUUGUGCAAGUAUCUUAAACCCUUGCAUUAUUUUAUUCGACAAAUACCAUAAGCUUAUCCCUUUGAAUACAAGUUAUAUUACUUUCUCGUUCAAAUGAGCUAGUAUGUUAAACCCUUGUGAAAGCUAUUAUUCAUGUUGAAAUUGGUAUUGUCCUUGAAUAUUGUGAAAGAGUCGAUGCCAUUUGAUUCAGCUAGACUAUAUGCAUGUUUAUGAAAACUGUCCAAACCAAUUGAUUGGUGCGGAAAUCUUAAAAACUGAGUUGAACAACCCUUAUGGUAAGGGGAGUGUAUGUUGUUGGAAACCCCAACACAUGAAUAAUUUAUUAUUGUGGUGUUAUGCAUAACGUAAAGUAUUGUAGAUUGAUCCUCUAUAGUACUUGAUAUUUUUGGGUUAUCAGUUUAAUAUUGGUAACUCUAGUGGAAGUUCAAUAGUCCUUAGUGACUACUCAGUAUAAACUGUUUAUCCAAUUGGAUACCUUGAUAGUCAUUGAAUUCAUAUAUAUCUGUUGAUUUAUAUUGAAUUAUCGUUCUUAUUCAAAGAAUUGUUGAUAUUUCUUAUCCCUGAUGUUAUUCUGAUACUUUGAACUAUCCUAGAAAUGACACAUCGAUAUUUCAAACCUUGUGAUAUAUAUCCUACACCCUUUUUGUAUAUUACUUGUUGGGCAAUUUGUGCUCAUCCUUGCUUAUUUAAAACCUUUCAGUUCAGGAGGAACAUGAAGGUGUCUCUGGAACAGACAAGGGCAAGGGCAACGGCAAGGGCAAGGCUACCGAAUAGCUUGUCUUUUUUAUGUUUAAAUUCUAUUAUGUUGUAUUAAGACUAUUUCAGAUUAUGUUUAAGCUUAAGUAAGAUCAUGUAAUAAGUCUUUAUUAGAUAUUAUUAUGUAAUCUAUUAAGCACUGUAGGUUGCGAAACUUGGGGGAAUAAUUAUAAUAAAACAUUGUAUAUUAUUCUAAAGUAGAUUUUCCAUUGUGUAUGCGUUAUUUUAGAUAUUAUAGUUUUACCAUGAGAACAUGAUGAACCGAAUUUGAGUGACCAAGUGGAAGUCCGAAUUUGGGGGCGUCACAUAAACACUCCGGAUAUAAAAUUCAGGCUCAAUCGAGGCAUAACUCGAUAAUGUUAGUCUAGAAAUAUAUAUAUAUAUAUAUAUAUAUAUACAAAAAAAAUAAAAGUCACGGACCGAAGUCCGGGCAUACACAUGCAACACGACUCUCAACGUGAAGUACGGUGUGUGCACAGUAGUGGAGAAAGGCUUUAAGAAAAGCAAGAAGGCUUACAGUGGACUGCCAAAGAAGACUUCAAUAGCUUUAAAUGGAUGAACACUCGACUCCCGCCGGUAAAAUAUAGCAAAGUAUAAGCUCACAAGUGUUUAGUAAUGAGAAAGCACUCAAUUUAUAGUGUGUAUAGAGCAAAUUGGACAGGGUUUCCUCACCUUUUCUCUCUUCAAAAUGGCUGCCCCAAGCCCUCUAUUUAUAGAGGGGGGGACCCACAGGUACACCUGAGGCUGCCCGGGGUGCCCCGGGCUCCGCGGGUCCUGCCGUCUCGAGGUACGUGCACGCGUGCAACGUGAUGUCCGCUCGAACUUUCAGAACAUCAAUCUGAGUUUCCGAUUGAGGUGUAUAAGACCUUUUACGGAAUGCUAUUGUCGAGACCUACACAAAUGACAUGGGAUUAGAGGUUGUACGAAGUUAGGAAGAUGGGACCAUGCCCUUGGUCUUCGAGUCUUCAAAUUCUAUCUGGUGUGUUAUCUUGUGUAGUAGUCACUCGGGAUUGGAGCCGUUGGUUCUUGUAGAACAUCUCUGUGUAGAGUGUAUAUUGAGACGACGCAAUAUGGGAUCGAGGUAGCAAAAUGACAAUUUUGACCCUCACUGGGGUUAUCUCCGGUUUGACCUGAUGUAGCAGUCGUUGCCCAUGGUUAUCUCUGAGAUUAGACUGCUAGAAGUACUGGAUGUCCUCAUGGUUGUCUCUAAGGUGUGCUUGACCUCCCGGGGUUAUCUUCAGGUUUGGUACUGACUGCCUCGGGGUCAUCUCCGAGGUUGAAACUGUUUGCUGGGUUUGAAACAAGCAUUUCCGGAACUGCAACUGCAUUCCUCGGGGUUAUCUCCAAGGUUGACCUGCCUUCUCCGGUGUGAUUUCCAGAAAUUGAAUUGCAUCCCUCAGAGUUAUCUCUGAGGUUGGCCAUAAAGUUCCCGGGGUUGUCUCCGGGACUGGAACUGAUGAUCUCGGUGUUGUCUCCGAGACUGGAACUGAUUUCCUAGGUGUUGUUUUUGAGGUGAAUGAAAUUCCUGGUGUUAUCUCCGGGACUAGACUGAGCCGUCCUCCAGAGCUAUCUCUGGAAGAUGAUUUUGCCCUCCUGCAAUAUUUGUAACAGGAACACAGAAAUUUCGAGUGUCUAUAGCUAGGAUGAGGAGGAUUGAGGCAAACCUCACAACAGGUGAGAAGGUUUCCUCAUUAUCAAUCCCCUCCUGCUGAGUGUAGCCCUUGGCUUACAAGACAAGCUUUGUACCGUUCACUGGAACCAUCCACUUUGCGUUUAACUUUAAGAACCUAUUUGUUCCCCAUAGCCUUUCACCCUAAUGGAAGGUCAACUGUGACGCCCCCAAAUUAAGACCACACUUGUCUUAAAUUUGGUUCCCACGUACUAACUCUAAUAAUAAAUCAAUAUCUCGCAUAGCGGAAUAAUAGAAUAAAUUACAUUAAUAUAACAUAAUUAUUCUUGUCCCAAAGUCUCGCAACCGUGACUAAUACAAUACAACUUACACUAAACAUAGCUUAAUAUAAAUAAGUUCUUCUACAACCAAAUAAUAGUACAUUCCUAGCAUUAUGGAAAUAACUACUCCAAAGCCUUCUCUUUACCCUUGUCCUUGCCAGAGGAUUCACCACGUUUUGCCUUAACCAAAAGUUUUAAGGAAAGGAGGAUGAACAUCAAAUUUUCCUAGCAAGUAAUAUAGCAAUAAGGGUAUUCAAGGUAGUUUUAACUUUCUCAAAGGUAUAUCAAUAAUGAUAAUUCAAGAUAGCAAGAAGUAUCGAUGAUUAACAACAGUAGUCGCUAUGGACAGGAUAUAUCAAUAAUAUUCAACGGUUAAUCAAUUCAAGAUUUUAAAGUAAUGAAAACUGAGCAGUCACUAAGGACUAUAAACUUCUCCUAGAAUUAACAGUAAUAAACUGAUAAUUCUACCAAAUGAGUACAACAGGUGAUCAGCCUAAAGUACCUUAUGUCAUGCAUAACAGUUAAUCUUUCUCAUAUGCGCACAUCGGUUCCCCAACAAAUAUAUAUUUCCCCUACCAAGAGGGUUGUUCAUCUCAGUUAUAAGAGUCCACACCAAGUUAUGCGUAUAGGAUAUUCAUUAGUUGCAUGUGCUCAUUCAUGAUAUGUAAGUUUAACCACACACAUAAACGUCUGACUCUUUACAUAUAACUUGUAUACUUAUCACAACAUCAGUUUAUAAGACACCACAAGGUCAAACAACACAGUUUCUAAUCAUUGCUUUAUAGUUUGCAAAUACCUUUUUGAACUUCAUUCUUGAAAGUUAUAAUCACUUGUUAAAUAUUCAACUCUAUCACUUAGCAUGAUUCUUAACACAUCGAAUAGUAUACUGGUCAUAAUACAAGUUAAAGUAACCAUAUAAGCAUGCUUUGAACACCAAAUUACAAACAGAAUACAAAAGUGACUACAGUAUGGCGCAGCUGCGCCCUGGCUAGGCUUAGGGACGGCGCAGCUGCGCUGUCCUCUAGCUUGGCCAGACUUGGGCUUCUGCUCUUCUGAUUUCAGUCCAAACUUUAACAUACAUAGACACACUUAUCAUGCAUUCAAGCUAGAGGUCUUUACAUAAGCAUAUGACCGUUCUACGUUCACUUUUACAUAUCACGGUCUUAGUUAAGGAUUUUCACGAAAUUAAGGCCAAAUAGGGUCAUGUAAUCAUCAUGCGUACUAAUUAGCCUUAUAUUCACGUAAAUAUAUUACAUAAUCUGCUAAUACACCUGCUCAUAGUGUUCGUAUCAUUUAUCCAUAGCUAGCAUUGAUAUUGCUUUAAAAAACAUACUUAAACGCAUGCUUGGUCUAUUACCAUUAUAUCAACACAUAAGAACCACGUUUAGAGACAUAAUGAACGUAAACAUGUUAUCUUAAAUCUUUAGAAUCUCUUACUCAUACUUAAUGCACUUGAUUUGAAAGCAUAAUCAAGUUUGCCUUUGAAAUUAUUUUAAACUUUGAACGAUGCAAUUCAACACAUACAAGACAACUUUAAGGCUCUUAUCAUAUAUAGUUCAGUCAUGUUAACAUCUUCUCAAGAUCAGAAUGUACAUCAUGUAGUAUUCAUGCAUAUUUGCUUUGAUAUAACAAGUUUUGCCUUGAAAAAGUUCUUUAACACAAGGUCUAACAAGUUAGUCAUGAAUACAAGAACUAUAAAUCAUAACUCAUGCUCAUUUAUGUUAGAAAUCAGUCAUGUAUAUACACUACUAAGCUCAAAAUUUGCAGAACAUGAGUUUCAACAAAGUUCGUUUUCAAAACUUAAAUUUUUGUUAUAAAUUCCUCACUAAAUCACGUUAAUCACCUCAUAAUACAUAAGAAAGCUUUAUAUCUCAUUUUAUACUUUUUUUUAGGUAUAUAUAAGUCAUAAUACCAAAGUAGCAACACAUAGCAUAAGAAAAACCAGAAACUGGUUCUGGGGUAUGGUGCAGCUGCACUGCACCCUAGUAUAAAUUGGGCGCAGUUGCGCCCUACCUGGAACAACAGUAGUAACUUGCUCUGUUUUACAGAGCAUCAAACAACAAUGAUUCUUCUUGGUUUAAACAUGUUCAAUUCCAUCAUUAAAGGUUCCAUAUAUGUACACAUACUUCCUAAACACAUGAUAGCAUGCUAAUUCACAUUGAUGGACAGAGAAUUUCAAGAAAUUUUAAUAAUUUGGCAAAACCCAACUAAGUACAAAAGUUAGGAUUUUUAUACCUCUUGAAGCUUAGUAUACUUAGUUUCUUCCUUCUGAGAUUGCUAGACUCUUCUUUGAACCACAAACACUCAAACUUAAUUUAUCAGAGUUUCAACAGACAAAACAAAUCAAUGUAAAAACUGAGAAUUGAACUGCUAUUUAUAAAGGAAACUUGGACUGGCCAAUGAGUUUAUACUAAGGUUGUAAUUUAUGAUGUAGAAGGUAAACACACUGGUUAUCUAAGAGUUAUUUAACUACCCAACAUUAGCCAUCCUUCUAGCCAAUGAUUACUGCUUGGAAGUUACGUAAUUAGGUGAUAGGUUACUGUUCAUGUACUGUUGGAGCAACUGAUGAGUUUAUUUCCCAGCAACGUGCUUAACUUGCUCAGUUUAGUUACUUUAAUUCCCAUAAAUGAAAUUUUAGUGUAAAAUUGUUACUAUAUUAGGAAAAAUAGGGAUUAUUAAUGUACUCACAUCAUAUAAUCCAUGUAUAUUAGGUACACAUAAUAAAAUAAUGUAGUUAGGUAUUAUUAUCCGGGUAUCUCCUAUAAUUAUUUUUACUACUCACAUAACCACAUUAUAACAUUAUUCAAUAUUAAAUAUUCACUUUAAACAUUUAAUUCCUUUCCCACUUUCUGGAAUUAGGAGUGAGCAUUUGGUUAAUAAUUGAACCGAAUACACAGUUCGGUUAUAACCGAAAAUCGAAUUUACUCUGUUUUUAAUAUCCGAACAACUACCCGAAAUACACGAUAACCGAAUAACCGAACUAAUUAUUCGGUUAUUCGGUUAAUAACCGUAUUUACCAGUUUACUCUUGCUUGCUUAACUUAACAGUACUGAGUACACAACAUGAAUGAUCCAACAUCAAUAAAAAAAAUAACAUAAUCUGAAAUUCUGAAUCAACAACAAUCAACAAUUCAACAACCAGACAUCUAAAAGAUCUAACAGGACAACACCAACUGAGAGUCUUAAGACAACUGAGACAACACCAACUGAUUUAACAGACCAACAGGUCCAACACCAAGAACAAUAACAAAAACAUGAAUGACAGAAUGAGAGUAUGAGACACCAUCACACCAAGUCACCAACAGGACCAACACCAAGUCACCAACUGAGACAAUACUAACAGUUACAGCAAUAACAAAAAUAGAAAUGAUCCAACAAGACAAAUUACACCAUAAUCUGAAUGAUCCAACAUCAACUUACUGACUGAGACACUCAAUAGCAAACUUCCAAACUGCAACAACAGUCAAUGAGCAUGAGACAACUGAGCCAACUUCCAAACUGCAAUGAAUAAAAAGAAAGAAACUACAUCAGUUGCAAAUAAAUUGAUGGACUAAGCUUAUUCUUCAUGUAUAACUUUGAAAUGUGUUUAUGACAUUUCAUGUAAGUAGAGUUAAACAUAAAUUGACUUUUAAAUAACUUUGCAUAACUUUAUUUGCAUAACUUUCAGCUUAUUCUUCAUGAAGUAAUGAUUAUGACAUUUGUGUUUAUUACAUUUCAAAGUUAUACAUGAACACAUUUCAACUUUGAAAGUUAUUCUUCAUGAAGUAAUGAUUAUAGAGUCACUUUCAGCUUUGAAAUGUGUUUAUUUGCAUAACUUUCUUCAAGAGUCAGCUUAUUUGCAUAACUUUCUCAAGGCUAUUUUCUUGUCCGACAUUUUUGUUUAAUUUUUCUUUUCUUCAUCACAACUAGUAGCUGCAGUUCAGAUGUCAGAUCAAAAUGACUCAAAUUUCAGUACUCAUGCCUCAUCAAUCUCAAGCAUGAAAACAGAUAAGGAGAAAACUAUAUGUACAAAUAAAAUAUACAAUCAUCAACAAAAACAAAGUAUCAACUUUUUCCUGAGAAAUUAAGGAACAAAAACAUAGUAUCAACUUUUUCCUAAUUUCUUUUCAAAACCUCAGAAAUUACGCAUGCACAUACACAAUUACACAAAAAUAAAUACACUAAAAAGAUGCACUAAAAAGCAAUCGGUCUUCAAGAAUUUAGUAAAGGUUAAUAAAAAAAUUACCUUAACAAAUGGAAAGCUGUCGCCGCCUCGCCGGCGCCCAGAUCUGAGAGUUCGAGAGUUCACGACGAAGGGUCGCCGGCGCCAAUAGUUCGCGAGUUCGUCUUUGACACUUGAGGCUUGAGAAAAUGAGAGAUCUCAGAUCUGAGUCUCUGAGACUGAGAGUUCGAGAAGAAGACGAGACAGUCGAGACUUGAUACUUGAGAUGAGAUAGAUCACAGAUCUGAUCUGAGGAGUGAGGACUGAGGACUGAGACUCUGCGAGACAGAGAGAGACAGAGAGUACUGAGGUCUGAGAAGGUAAGGAGUAACUGAGGUCUGAGUAAGGACGACUGGACGAGAAGGAGACUGGAGAACUGGAGUGGAGAAGGAGAAGGACUGAGCAGUGAGCAGUAGGCCAGUAGUCUAAAUUAAAUGGGCUAAGACUUAAGAGUUCGAGUCUACAUGAAUACAUU